AGUUCCUUGCAUUUUUUUUAAGAUUUUUGUAGAUUUCCAGUUUUAUUUCAAACAUUUCAAGAUACACCUGACGAACAUUUCAAUGUUGACUGUAAAACUGGUGGUCACAGAGUUUAUUUGAAAACUGCUGAAUCACUGGAUGUUUGGACUUUGCAUUUCUAGGUCACCAUGAGGAUAAUUUAAUUUCUGAAUGCAGUAUUGUCAUUAAGAAUUAUGAGCAACAAUAUAGCAGCAACAUCAAA
rnacentral:lncRNA from 1 species